rnacentral:ncRNA from 2 species
UUUGACCACUUGGGGAGCCGCCGGCUGAGAGUGAACGUUAUGUUCUGACCCGUUGAACCUGUUAAGUUAAAGCUUACGUAGGGAUGUGGCGAUGGAUUCAA